rnacentral:tRNA from 1 species
GCUUCUAUAGCUUAGUGGUAGAGCGUUCCCUUCGUACUCAUAAUACCCGUACCAGGGAAAGGUCCCGAGUUCAAUCCUCGGUGGGAGCA